rnacentral:rRNA from 1 species
AUUGAACGCUGGCGGCAUGCUUUACACAUGCAAGUCGAACGGUAACAGGCCGCAAGGUGCUGACGAGUGGCGAACGGGUGAGUAAUGCAUCGGAACGUGCCCCGUCGUGGGGGAUAACUACUCGAAAGAGUAGCUAAUACCGCAUACGAUCUAUGGAUGAAAGCGGGGGACCGUAAGGCCUCGCGCGAUUGGAGCGGCCGAUGUCAGAUUAGGUAGUUGGUGGGGUAAAGGCUCACCAAGCCAACGAUCUGUAGCUGGUCUGAGAGGACGACCAGCCACACUGGGACUGAGACACGGCCCAGACUCCUACGGGAGGCAGCAGUGGGGAAUUUUGGACAAUGGGCGCAAGCCUGAUCCAGCAAUGCCGCGUGCAGGAAGAAGGCCUUCGGGUUGUAAACUGCUUUUGUACGGAACGAAACGGCUCUGGUUAAUACCCGGGGCUAAUGACGGUACCGUAAGAAUAAGCACCGGCUAACUACGUG